rnacentral:lncRNA from 1 species
UCAGGGAUGGGUGUCGCUAAAUUUUACACAUUUCUGUUUUGUCAGGCUUUUACGAGCUGCCUCUGUGCCGCAGGGAAGCGGUGACGGGGUCUCGGCGUCCGAGGGGAUCGACGAGGGAGCAGCUUCCCCGCCGCACGGAGGUGGGCAGCUAGGAACGGGCGCCCCGAGGCGCAGGGGAGCCGCUGGGCCCACCAACGGGGCCGCCCGGGGUUCCCGCACGGACAGGAGUCAACUAAUAAUAAUAAAGUUGAAUGUACCUGUAACAGACGCUCCGCGGUUGAACCUAACCUCAGGUUCGGCGGGGAGCAGAAGGGAGCUGAGGUAACGCGGUUCUGCAGCGGGGAGUUCGGGCCCGAACGCUUCAGUCUGGUGCGCGCCGAGUUUGGCAUCGACACGGCGUGCGAUGGGAGAAAACAGAUGGAAACGCAUCCAUGUGAAAAAUUGUCUCGAAGUUAAAGAGCACAAAGCACUUGCUGCAGCAUUAAAAAGUUUUCAGCAAGGAUUAGUGCACUGAGGUACCAGGCAUGUGAAAUCAAGGCAGCCUCAAGGCAAACAUCUGAGUAAUGGGACCAAAUCAGGCUCUGAAGGGUGAUCUCCAGACUUCGCAUGGAGCGUACGUCCCUCUGGCGAAAGCCCACAGCACAGAGCAAACACGUGUCCUUCUCCCCCACUCUAGACAAACUGUAGAUUUUUUUUUUUUUUUUUAAUUCCUUGGAUGAAAUUAGGCAGCCUCAUUUCUUUAUGCAAGAUGAAUGUGGGUCGUGAAUGCUGUAGUCUAAAUUAGAUUAUUUUUAAAUUCCAUUUAAUCAUUAAACUGGUACUGGAAAGGAUACUUUUCUUUAAACAUUAAUCUCAGUGUGACUGAGUACAUGGCUGACUUCCCAAAUUAAGAUACUGUCCAGAAAAUUAAGCACGUCCUCUUCUCACUGUAGCAAGACAUAGCAAUGUCUAGGCUGAGAUUUGAAAUAAAAAACCAAGGUUUAAGUAUUGCUUUUGUCA